CAAUAGCGUAUAUUAAAGUUGUUGCGGUUAAAAAGCUCGUAGUUGGAUUUCUGCUGAGAACGACCGGUCCGCCCUCUGGGUGUGUAUCUGGCUCUUUCUUGGCAUCUUCUUGGUGAACGUUGCUGCACUUGACUGUGUGGAGCGCUACCCAGGACUUUUACUUUGAGGAAAUUAGAGUGUUUCAAGCAGGCAUACGCCUUGAAUACAUUAGCAUGGAAUAAUAAGAUAGGACCUCGGUUCUAUUUUGUUGGUUUCUAGAGCUGAGGUAAUGAUUAAUAGGGAUAGUUGGGGGCAUUCGUAUUUAACUGUCAGAGGUGAAAUUCUUGGAUUUGUUAAAGACGAACUACUGCGAAAGCAUUUGCCAAGGAUGUUUNCAUUA
rnacentral:rRNA from 1 species